AGGACGAACGCUGGCGGCGUGCUUAACACAUGCAAGUCGAGCGGAAAGGCCCUUCGGGGUACUCGAGCGGCGAACGGGUGAGUAACACGUGAGCAACCUGCCCUUGGCUCUGGGAUAGCCUCCGGAAACGGGGAUUAAUACCGGACAUUCACUUUCUCCUGCAUGGGGGGUUGGUGGAAAGUUUUUCGGCCAGGGAGGGGCUCGCGGCCUAUCAGCUUGUUGGCGGGGUAACGGCCCACCAAGGCGACGACGGGUAGCCGGCCUGAGAGGGCGAUCGGCCACACUGGGACUGAGACACGGCCCAGACUCCUACGGGAGGCAGCAGUGGGGAAUAUUGCACAAUGGGCGCAAGCCUGAUGCAGCGACGCCGCGUGGGGGAUGAAGGCCUUCGGGUUGUAAACCCUUUCACCAGGAGCGAAUUCAGACGGUACCUGGGGAAGAAGCGCCGGCUAACUACGUGCCAGCAGCCGC
rnacentral:rRNA from 1 species